GACGGAGGAUGCAAGUGUUAUCCGGAAUCACUGGGCGUAAAGCGUCUGUAGGUGGUUUAAAAAGUCCACUGUUAAAGAUUGAAGCUCAACUUCAAAAAUGCCGUGGAAACUUUUAAACUUGAGUAUGAUAGGGGUAGAGGGAAUUUCCAGUGGAGCGGUGAAAUGCGUAGAUAUUGGAAAGACCACCAAUGGCGAAGGCACUCUACUGGGCCAUUACUGACACUGAGAGACGAAAGCUAGGGGAGCAAAUGGG
rnacentral:rRNA from 1 species